GACGAACGCUGGCGGCGUGCUUAACACAUGCAAGUCGAACGAUGAAGAAGAGAAACGCGAACUUCGGUUCAAAUUUCACUUCGGAUUAGUGGCAGACGGGUGAGUAACGCGUGAGCAACCUACCUCUUACAAAGGGAUAGCCUCGGGAAACCGUGAUUAAUACCAUAUGACACAUUCAUAAGGCAUCUUAAGAAUGUUAAAGCUACGGCGGUAAGAGAUGGGCUCGCGUCCCAUUAGCUAGUUGGUGAGGUAACGGCCCACCAAGGCGACGAUGGGUAACCGGCCUGAGAGGGUGAACGGUCACAUUGGAACUGAGACACGGUCCAAACUCCUACGGGAGGCAGCAGUGGGGAAUAUUGCACAAUGGAAGGAACUCUGAUGCAGCGACGCCGCGUGAGCGAUGAAGGAAUUCGUUUCGUAAAGCUCUGUUCUAUGGGAAGAAAAGGACUGUACCAUAGGAGAAAGCCCCGGCUAAAUACGUG
rnacentral:rRNA from 1 species